rnacentral:rRNA from 1 species
GACGAACGCUGGCGGCGUGCCUAAUACAUGCAAGUCGAGCGGGCCUCCGGAGGUGCUUGCACCUCCGGACGGCCAGCGGCGGACGGGUGAGUAACACGUGGGCAACCUGCCUUUGAGGCCGGGAUAACACCGGGAAACCGGUGCUAAUACCGGAUACGUCCUCUUUCGCGCCUGCGAGAGGGGAGAAAGACGGUCUUUAAGGCCGUCGCUCCAAGAAGGGCACGCGGCGCAUUAGCUAGUUGGUGGGGCAAGGGCCUACCAAGGCGACGAUGCGUUGCCGACCUGAGAGGGUGAUCGGCCACACUGGGACUGAGACACGGCCCAGACUCCUGCGGGAGGCAGCAGUAGGGAAUCAUCCGCAAUGGGCGAAAGCCUGACGGUGCAACGCCGCGUGAGUGAGGAAGGUUUUCGGAUCGUAAAGCUCUGUUGUGAGGGAAGAACAGCUUCCGGAGGAAAUGCCGGAGGUUUGCCGGUACCUCACCAGAAAGCCCCGGCUAACUACGUGCCAGCCGCCGCCGUAAUAC